UCUUUCCACUUCUACCCAUUUC
rnacentral:miRNA from 1 species